ACUGCAGGAUAGAAGAGGAACAGAACCAUAUACUGGAUACUGAUUCAAAGCACGCGGCACCUUCUGCAGUACCCUGCUCUCACGGUAAUGCUACUUAAUUAGGUUUAUACACGAGUAUUAAUGACUCAAAGGCGGCUGCAUCACUGAAAAGCUCACUCAGUCUGAGAGACAGUUUAUGAAAGCUGAGGUGGGCUUUUGGAGCUCUCAGCAUGACUGCACAGGCAAUCUCUCUGGCAGUCCUCACUGCUUAUAUAAGCUUGGGGAGGGGCUGCUGUCCCAGACCUUCCUGCCGCUCACGCUCACGUAGCAUCCUCCCUGAGUCUUAAGCAGCCUUCCUUCAGGAAUGCUUCAAUUUGGAGGGAACUGGUACACAACAAAGAGAUAACUGUAACUGGAGCUUUUAUCAGAGUUUUUAGGACAAACGACUCAGCUAAACUGGGACCUUGUCGCCUGCCUUGACUCUGCAAGCAGCGCCUGGCUCAUUAAUCUCUCACCACCGCAAUGAGCCUCAGCACUUUAACCAGCCUCCCACUUCUGCCUUCUCACAUUCUCACAGCCAUCUUUAACUGCCUGAACUCUGCCGUGGCCUCAGCCCUCUGUAGCCUUCUGUAAGCUAGAUAUUCAUCUAGAGAUGUGACACGCGUUGUGUAAUGUGUGGUCUCGGAGCUAACGUCACCAUCAGAAUGGACGAGCUUUCUCUUUCCUUGCAGGCUCUCGGCCACUUGGAACUGUCCCGCGAACUGAAGCGGUGAGAUAGCGCAGCUUGUGAACGCUGUGUUAUUCAGCACAGCGUGCUAUUUGGGGCACAGCUCCUAAGCACCUGUUUCAGUGUCUUCAAACCCACUUUUUUUUUUUAAACCAUGCUCAAGGCAGAGGUGACCCCAGUGUCAGUCAACAGCUUGAUGAAUGGAUAAAAUGAGGAGUACUACUCAGUCCUCAGAAGAGAAAAUUUCCAAGACAUGCAACAAAACAGAAGAAAAUGGGGGAUGUUAUGUCAGGUGGAACAAGCCAAAAAGAUAACCUGAAAAACAUUCUCUAAUUCUCGUUCUACCAGACAACUAGAAUCAUGCCAUUCUCACACACAGAAAGCAGAAUGGUGGCUCCUGUGGGCUGGAGAGAAAGGGGCAAAAGAGUCCCUUAGCUGCUUUUGCCAAAGUACCGAGUCCUCAGUCCUCACAGUGUAAGUAGAAGCGAGCUGGAAGCCUCGGACCUCUGCUGUCAUUUUCUAUCUGCAGACUGGCCAAAGUUUGUUUAUAUGGUGGAUUACAUUGAUAGAUUUCCAUAUAUUGAACCACCCCUGCAUGCCUGAGAUGAAGUCAACUUGGUCACAGUGGAUGGUAUCUUUGAUGUGUUCUUGGAUUCCAUUUGCAAGUUCAGUUCAAUGCGUGAUGCUCACGUGGUGUAUGGGUGUGGGGACAUCCACUGGAGCGUGGGAACCAACCGGCUGCCGCAUCCUCAGAAAGGAAUCAUUCUCCCUCCAGCCGCUAUUAAAACGUCUUUAAUAAAAUCUCCAACUGAGCUUCACUGUGCCAGUGAGUCUUAAAAUUCUUUUCAGCAUGA